GGGCCCGCACAAGCAGUGGAGCAUGUGGUUUAAUUCGAUGCAACGCGAAGAACCUUACCAGGCCUUGACAUCCUAGGAAUCCUGUAGAGAUACGGGAGUGCCUUCGGGAAUCUAGUGACAGGUGCUGCAUGGCUGUCGUCAGCUCGUGUCGUGAGAUGUUGGGUUAAGUCCCGUAACGAGCGCAACCCUUGUCCUUAGUUGCCAGCACUUCGGGUGGGAACUCUAGGGAGACUGCCGGUGACAAACCGGAGGAAGGUGAGGAUGACGUCAAGUCAGCAUGCCCCUUAUGCCUUGGCUACACACGUGCUACAAUGGUCGGUACAGAGGGCUGCGAGACCGCGAGGUUCGAGCGAA
rnacentral:rRNA from 1 species